rnacentral:lncRNA from 12 species
CAGGCUUCCAAAUAAAAUAAAUCUAUCUUUAUUAAAAUAAACAAGUGCAAAAGAAGAAACAGAAAGAAAAUCAAUCAGCUGCAUUUACAACAGGGAGAUACUGAGUAUAGAGUGCUCCAUCCAGCGAGAGGGACAAGAGCUGCAGGAAUCAAACCCCUUCUCUCUUGGAAUAGGGUUUUUCCCAUACUCUCCUGAUUCUGAGUGUAUUUUCUCCUGGAUAUAUUUCUUCUUGCUUAUGGAAAAGUCCUGGUGAGAACUUUUUUCCUGUGGGGAUAAGGAAGAGAAAAAGCAGAGACAUUCCAGCUCGUGCCCACCAGAUAAUUCCAGACAAUCUCCAUGAAGGGGAUCACACUGUUUUCCAUCUGACAAUAAUUUGGGCAGAACUGGCUGUGUUUAUACAUCUCAAAAUCUUUGUAGAUAAGAACAGAUAAAUACCAGGAUUGUCAUUUCCAGAUAUUCUAAGACAGUUUCUCUCCUGCAGGGAUUAUUUCUGGAAAAAGGCCUGUUCUGUAUGGAAAUGCUGUUACAGCUUUUCUCUUCAUCCCCACGAUGCUCCUUGGUUUUUGGCUGGAGGAUCUACACCUUCAGGAAGAAGCAAAAUAACAAAUUCCUCUUUCUCUCUGUUUUUUUUUUUUUUUUUUUUUCCCCCAAACCCAGCUGGCAGCCGAGCGUGUUAUCAUCAUGCAGGACCUGCACCAGGGUUUCAUUGCGAGCCUUUGCUGUGCCUGGGGGAGCUCAGGAGGGGAAAGCAGAGAUUUGGCAGCUGCAGGGGCUGAGCGACCAACCCAGGGCAGCUUUCCUCGGUGUAGGAGGAAUUUGGGACGCGCUGCCUUCCAGGGGCUGCUGCCCGAAUGAUCCUGUGCUAACAACCCUGGCUGGGAGCAGCCGAUGCCUUUGGGGCAGGAGAGAAGGGCUCAGGUGUGGGGAGACAGGAGCUGUGCAUCCCGGAGGAUGCUGGCCCAAAGUCACCGUCGGGCCCCGCUGCAGCUCUGGCUCCUCUGCUCCCCGGAGCAUCCCAGCUCCAGAAAGCUUUGUCCUGCUCGGGAACAGCGGAACUCUGGGUGCGGCACCCUCAAUCUCCGUGCCCGCUGCAUCCCGGGCCAGCUACAGCUGCAGCACGGAGCGGGUGAAGGAAGCCGAGAGGAGAGGAGCGUUCUGCGCUCCUGCAGUGCCAUCGUGUGCUGGCUGAGUCAGACCCGUACCCAACAGGGCUGUUGAAGCUAUGGAGAUCUCAGAGAGGAAUCAAUAAGGAUCCCUCAGCAAAAGGGCCAUGGAGUGGAAAAUGGGGCUUUUGCCCUUUAUUUUACCUGGAAUAUUCCUUAUCCUGGGGGUUUCCUAGCAGACCCUUCCUGCUGCUUAAUAAAAGUUGCUCCAACCAAGACAGGUCCCCCCUCCUGUCAUAGAAUCACAGAAUCUUGGAAUCAUAGGACCAUAGAAACAAGAGAAUCACAGAACAUGCUGAGUUGGGAGGGACCCACCAGGACCAGAGCCCAGCCCCUGUCCCUGCCCAGACCUCCCAGCAAUCCCCCCUGUCCAUCCCUGGAGCUCUGGCAGCCUCGGGGCCGUGCCCAUUCCCUGGGGAGCCUGGGCAGUGCCAGCACCUCUGGGGGAGGGAAGAGCCUUGCCCUGAGCUCCAGCCUGAGCCUGCCCUGGCCCAGCCCCAG